AGUGAACGCUGGCGGUAGGCCUAACACAUGCAAGUCGAACGGCAGCACAGUAAGAGCUUGCUCUUACGGGUGGCGAGUGGCGGACGGGUGAGGAAUACAUCGGAAUCUACUUUUUCGUGGGGGAUAACGUAGGGAAACUUACGCUAAUACCGCAUACGACCUACGGGUGAAAGCAGGGGAUCUUCGGACCUUGCGCGGUUGAAUGAGCCGAUGUCGGAUUAGCUAGUUGGCGGGGUAAAGGCCCACCAAGGCGACGGUCCGUAGCUGGGCUGAGAGGAUGGUCAGCCACACUGGAACUGAGCCACGGUCCAGACUCCUACGGGAGGCAGCAGUGGGGAAUAUUGGACAAAGGGCGCAAGCCUGAUCCAGCCAUACCGCGUGGGUGAAGAAGGCCUUCGGGUUGUAAAGCCCUUUUGUUGGGAAAGAAAAGCAGCAGGUUAAUACCCCGCUGUUCUGACGGUACCCAAAGAAUAAGCACCGGCUAACUUCGUG
rnacentral:rRNA from 1 species